rnacentral:rRNA from 1 species
GUUGAACGCUGGCGGCAGGCUUAACACAUGCAAGUCGAGCGGGCGAGGUUGCUGCGGUAACGGAGCUAGCGGCGGAAGGGUGAGUAAAGCGUAGGAAUCUGCCUAUUAGUGGGGGACAACAUUUCGAAAGGGAUGCUAAUACCGCAUACGUACUACGGGGGAAAGCAGGGGAUCACUGGUGACCUUGCGCUAAUAGAUGAGCUUAAGUCGGAUUAGCUAGUUGGUGGGGUAAAGGCCUACCAAGGCGACGAUCUGUAGCGGGUCUGAGAGGAUGAGCCGCCACACUGGGACUGAGACACGGCCCAGACUCCUACGGGAGGCAGCAGUGGGGAAUAUUGGACAAUGGGGGGAACCCUGAUCCAGCCAUGCCGCGUGUGUGAAGAAGGCCUUUUGGUUGUAAAGCACUUUAAGUGGGGAGGAGGCUUACCUGGUUAAUACCUGGGCUAAGCGGACGUUACCCACAGAAUAAGCACCGGCUAACUCUGUGCCAGCCGCCGCCGUAA